UACAGAGGGCCCAAGCGUUGUUCGGAUUCACUGGGCGUAAAGGGCGCGUAGGCGGUCGGGUAAGUCUGACGUGAAAUCUUCAAGCUUAACUUGGAAACUGCGUCGGAUACUAUUCGGCUGGAGGAAUGGAGGGGAGACUGGAAUACUUGGUGUAGCAGUGAAAUGCGUAGAUAUCAAGUGGAACACCAGUGGCGAAGGCGAGUCUCUGGACAUUUCCUGACGCUGAGGCACGAAAGCCAGGGGAGCAAACGGG
rnacentral:rRNA from 1 species